ACAACCCUAUGCGGUGGAUCACUUGGCUCGCGAGUCGAUGAAGAGCGCAGCAAACUGCGUGAAUUAAUGUGAUUUGCAGGACACAUUGAUCAUCGAUAUCUUGAACGCAUAUUGCGGUUAUGGAUCGCUUCCAUGACCACGCCUGUGUGAGGGUCGGUAUUAAUAU
rnacentral:rRNA from 1 species